rnacentral:rRNA from 1 species
AAUAUUGGACAAUGUGGGCAACCCUGAUCCAGCCAUGCCGCGUGGGUGCAGAAGGUCUUCGGAUUGUAAAGCACUUUAAGCUGGGCGGAAGAGCUUUAGGUUAAUACCCUGAAGGGUUGACGGUACCAACAGAAUAAGCACCGGCUACCUCUGUGCCAGCAUCCGCGGUAAUACAGCAGGUGCAAGCGUUAAUCGGAAUUACUGGGCGUAAAGCGCGAGUAGGUGGUUCAGUAAGAUGGGUGUGAAAUCCCCGGGCUUAACCUGGGAACUGCUUUCAUAACUGCUGAGCUAGAGUACGGUGGAGGGUAGUGGAAUUUCCUGUGUAGCGGUGAAAUGCGUAGAUAUAGGAAGGAACACCAGUGGCGAAGGCGACUACCUGGACUGAUACUGACACUGAGGUGCGAAAGCGUGGGGAGCAAAC